GAUGAACGCUAGCUACAGGCUUAACACAUGCAAGUCGAGGGGAAACGAUAUUGGAAGCUUGCUUCCGAUAGGCGUCGACCGGCGCACGGGUGAGUAACGCGUAUCCAACCUGCCCACCACUUGGGGAUAACCUUGCGAAAGUAAGACUAAUACCCAAUGAUAUCUCUAGAAGACAUCUGAAGGAGAUUAAAGAUUUAUCGGUGAUGGAUGGGGAUGCGUCUGAUUAGCUUGUUGGCGGGGUAACGGCCCACCAAGGCGACGAUCAGUAGGGGUUCUGAGAGGAAGGUCCCCCACAUUGGAACUGAGACACGGUCCAAACUCCUACGGGAGGCAGCAGUGAGGAAUAUUGGUCAAUGGGCGAGAGCCUGAUCCAGCCAAGUAGCGUGCAGGAUGACGGCCCUAUGGGUUGUAAACUGCUUUUAUAAGGGAAUAAAGUGAGCCUCGUGAGGCUUUUUGCAUGUACCUUAUGAAUAGGGACCGGCUAAUUCCGUGCCAGCAGCCGCCGUAA
rnacentral:rRNA from 1 species